rnacentral:rRNA from 1 species
AUGAUGGAUGCGCGGCGUUGGCAGUCCCCGGCGGCGGCGGCCGCGGCGGCCGAGGCGGCGGCGGAGGACGCGUCGGGCGGCGGGGGCGGGCCCUCGAGGCGGCCGCCGCGCCGCGGGCUGCAGCGCGCGUCGCCCUACGGGCUGGGCCCCCGGCGCUGGCUCCCGAAGCCCCCGGUGGCCUCUAGUGUCUUCCCCGCCGCGUCCCGUGACCACGCCGCCGAAGGCGAUAAUCGGAUGGGUCAAUAUGAAUCAAUGGAUGUAGCGCAUGAAGCGAGCAGAGUAACGCAUGAAAAUAAGUCUAUGGAACCAAAUACCAAUGCUAUAACCAAUGUGGCCCUAGCGUUUUCAAACGAAGCCAACCUGCUGCCUGAAGGUGAUUACAUAAAUCGAAGCAGUGGACUUGCUGAAAUCGAGAAGAUCAUCAAACAGAAGCAAUUUUCUAGGGAUGAAACAGAACGUUUGAUAGAGAUCAUGCGUUCGAGGACUCCUGAUCUCCAUGAGGACGAUCAGAGAGCUACGCAGUCUUUUGCGAAAGAAACUGAAACUACACCGUUUUCUAACAAACUGGUGAUACCUGCAAAGCCAGAUGAACGAAAUUGGGGGACUGAUGUGUUUGCACAGUCAAAUGUGCAUGAUGUUACUUCACCCAUUGAACUUGCUAGAGCUUAUAUGGAAGCACAGACCUCAGCAAGUGUACAUGAAUCUCAAAAGAGAAAAUUCAGAGCUUUGAGUCAUGGAGUUGAAAUUGAGAAUUCAGCAUCAAAAAUCUUCCCUAAAGUGGCCAUGGACUCUCCUGUGCGCUGGCCAGGUUCAGUUGUCCGAGACCAUACAAACCACUACCUUACACCACAAAGUAAUAAACGAAGAGCUCUUCCUCCUGCAUCCUCUCGCUCACCAUAUACUGGCUCAGUUUUCCGAAGAUCUGUCAAGAGAACAGGACAGCUUGAUACCUAUAGUAACUUAUCUGGGCGGCCACAGCUUUCAACACCUUUUUCCGUUGGAAGUAAGGCUAUGCUAGAGGAUAAAAUGACAUCAACUGAUGGUGUUCUUGGAGUGCAACCAUCAACCUCUUCCGAAAGAGUACAUGCAGAUGCCGUUGGCACUGAUACUCCACAUACAUUCACCCUAGAAAGACCUCACGGCAAAGGCACCAUAGAAAGUGGCUCGAGUACUGGACGUGUACCAGUGGCAGACAAUAUUUCCAAGCAUGCUGCUGUAUCUGUUCAUCCGAAGUCAAGCCAGACAGCUCAGAAAAUACUCCAGCAUCUUGAGAGGACAAUUCCAUCCCCUACAGUAAAGCCAGAGCUAAGGCGAACUGCAAAGAGAACUAUUUCCCCUGUUGUCAUCAGCAGCCCGUAUAAAAUGCCCGACUCCGUCACUAAUAAUGCUCCCAGACAGAACAGCCUCAAUGAGCAUGCCAGUGCUUAUCAGGCAAUUUCAAAUGUGAAGAAGGUUCAGGAACCCCCAAGCAGCUCCAAUUGUGAGGAGCCGGCUCCAAAGGUCCAGAGCCCAGUGGCCACCCCAGAAGUUACUGAAAUGACCGGCUCACAGCAUCUUUCGAAGCCCGACGCGGCAACUGCACCAGCUGCAGCAGUCUCGGAUAAAAGCGCGACCAAUGGUUUCAUGUUCUCGUUCCCUGUCACCAAAACCUCAGUUUCGCUUCCAGAACCGCCACCCACUCCUACUUUCUUCUCACCGCCGAAAAGGAGCCCGCCAGCUGACAUCCAAGAUAUCCCCAAGUUCAACUUUGGCUCACCAAGUUCUACGGACAAUCUCGUUUUCUCUGUCGAUGCAGCAGGCGGCUCUGCUGGUGCAGAGGAAGUGGCUCCAACCUUCAAGUUUGGGUCGGACAAGCGAGAGCUUUCCUUCGACGUGGCUGGGAAAGACGCGGAUCUCCCUCCUGUGGUUCUCUCAACCAGGCCUGGAGCUGGAGUCAGUUGGGCAUCAGCCAAUUUGGUGUCCACACAGCUUUGGGCCUUCUUUUCUCCGUGGAACCGCGUCUGA